rnacentral:rRNA from 1 species
UACAGAGGGUGCAAGCGUUAAUCGGAAUUACUGGGCGUAAAGCGUGCGUAGACGGUUAUGUAAGUCGGGUGUGAAAGCCCCGGGCUCAACCUGGGAAUUGCAUUCGAGACUGCAUAGCUAGGGUGCGGAAGAGGGAAGCGGAAUUUCCGGUGUAGCGGUGAAAUGCGUAGAUAUCGAGAGGAACACCUGCGGCGAAGGCGGGUUGCUGGGCUGACACUGACGCUGAGGCGCGAAAGCGUGGGUAGCAAACAGG